GUCACCGAGGAACUUGGGAGACGGAGGAGGAGCUGGAGCCGUUCCCAGCUGCCUCUCGUUCAGAUAGGUUACAACAUUGUGUUAGAAACUCCUCAAAGUAAACUCCCAAAAGUGGGGAUGGAAACUUAACCCCUUCAGCUUUCUUGGAGGGCAAGUUUGGGAAAUACGCUCUGGUUCAGGAAACAUCCUCAAGUGGAAGAACAGGAGGGAUUUAUGUUUGUUUGCCCUUAGAAACUUCUUACCCCUAACCCCCCAUGGCUACCUCUCCAAUCACAGUGUAAGCACACUUGUGUUUCAUCUUUACUAGUGACACAAAACAGUUCUGUGAUCAGACAUACAGGGGUUU